rnacentral:rRNA from 1 species
AAUGGGGGAAACCCUGACGGAGCGACGCCGCGUGGACGAUGAAGGCCGUAAGGUUGUAAAGUCCUUUUGCAGGAGAAGAAUAACCCGUGGAGUGGAAAGCCAUGGGGAUGACGUUAUCCUGCGAAUAAGCCCCGGCCAAUUACGUGCCAGCAGCCGCGGCAAUACGUAUGGGGCGAGCGUUGUUCGGAGUUAUUGGGCGUAAAGGGCGUGUAGGCGGCCCGAGAAGUCUGGUGUGAAAUCGCAGGGCCUAACCCUGCGGGUGCGCUGGAAACUGUCGGGCUGGAGUCCCGGGGGGGAAGCUGGAAUUCCUGGUGUAGGAGUGAAAUCUGUAGAGAUCAGGAAGAACACCGGUGGCGAAGGCGAGCUUCUAUUCGAGGACUGACGCUGAGGCGCGAAAGCGUGGGGAGCAAA